GGGACAACGUGAAAAUGGGGGAAGGAUAUCUUGGGUGAUCCCAUGGCAGAAGACCACAGCUGGUGAUUCUUUUUGUUCCUCUUCCAUAGAGACCUCCAGGAGUAGGUCUGAAAAUCAUCUCAUGGAAAAGCUAGAAGCGCUGUGUGCCCAGCAGUCCAGGAUGGUGUCUCCACACUGCAGGUGGCCAUCAGCCAAGCUCUCCUCUCAAGAACAUCAAGAGAAUAAGGAUGUUGCCUUGCUAUCGUCUUCACGAAGUUCUCUAAGGACAGACGUGAUAUUACAGCGCCUGCCAGAGCCUGUAACUGUGUACAUAGAUUUAAGAGAUGCUAAUCCACAGAAGUCAGUAACGCUCCCCGAUGAGAAAGAAAGUGCAAGCGACAGCUCCACUGAAGAAGAAGAAGAAGAAACUAUGACAAUUAAGGACCAAGCAGAAAGGAGAAUGAGGAAUUGCUCAGGGAAAAGCCUGCUACUACAACAACUCCAUAUAGCCCGUAAAGAAGCCUCAGAGGUUCUUAGUGAAAUGUCUACCCCAGCUGAAAAACUUGAAGGCAUAAAACAGGAUCCAGAAAGUCUGGAAGAGAUAGGUUCCUCUAAAAUAAGUCAAAACCAGUAUUUUAAAGUGAGGCAAGAGACAAAUGAAUUGAUUCCCAGGAGUUUGAAACCAGAGACAAGAAAUACCCUCUUUUCAGGCCAUGGGGGCAAUGGAGCUGACAUAGAAAAAGAAAACAAAAUGGAAACUGAGAAGGUUCAAAAUUCAGGAAAUGCUUCAGAGUCUCCUCUAACUACAGGAGAAUUGCCAAGGACAGAAGAAAGUAAAAAAGAGCUAUCCCAAAAGGAAGAAGAGAUGAAAGAGAGACACAGGAGAUGCAGAUUCCAGGAGCAGCUGGAAAGACUGCAGCCUCAGCAGUCAGUUACUGGAAAGCAGCCCAUGGCAGAGAAAACCCCUGUUUUGUUUCACAUGGUUAGUAGUUCAGCGUAGGACUGUCUCUUUCAGAAUGGCUUCCUGGCCAAAUGCAAGUGUGAUCCUAGAACCAAAAAGUAAUUUUCAUUGCAUUAUUUAAAAUCUGUUUGUAACGGAGUGCCGUUACCUGAUGAGAUGAGCAGUCCCACAGCUCUUCUCUUGUGCUAACAAUACCUUUCUUUCCUUUCCUGUACGGGGAGUGCUCCCCCAUACAGCUGCCCACCAGGUUUGACGUGUCGGGGUGUGGUAGGAGUCCUGGCUUGAGGUCAGUGGGCUCAGUGUCAUCUACUUCACAGGAGCCAGACUUUCACACAUGAUUUUUCAUAACUUAGAAAAAAAAAAUAUUUUACUGUCACAAUUCUAAAGUAAAGCCUAUGCAGAGUCCUGUCUAGUUGUCAGCCCUUAGCAGCUUUAUAUUUCAGUUUUGUGGGUAGACUUUGAGGACUGCGGGUUUAGUAAUAGGUUUUGCUUUUGGCUGAUGUCCUGAUUAAGGGAGUAUGAAAUUAUCCUAAUUUUUCCCAGAGCCUAAAAUAUGGCUCAGAGGAGAGGGCUGUUUUUCCUCCUAAGAAGAUUUGUAUAUGUAGUCUUUAUUCAUCCUUGCCCUGAUUUCACUGAACACAAGGCCAGCUGAGAAGGUAAAAGAUGAGAAACUCAAGAAUUUGUCCGUGAAUCCACCAAAAUUACUUACUUGGGCUAAUAGCAGUAACAAAGCUGUUCUGUCAGUACAAAAGUUGAAAGACCUUACAGCCCUAAGUUGGGGGAGGGACCAUUCAUCUUUGUUUUGUAAGCAAUCGACUACUGUAUUUCUGCAGAUUGAAAGCAUAUUUUUUUAACACUAGAUUAAUCACUGCUGAGAAGCAAAGGACUAACAGACAGCUGUAUUUCCCUGUCACCGUGCCUUGGCAAGGACAGUGAACUGCACAGAGCUGUGUUCUGAAGUGUGGAAAGGUGAAUCUAGUCUUCAGCCUUGUUCCUUUCUCAGUCUGCUGGGAGAUACCACCAAAUUCCAGUUAGCCCU
rnacentral:lncRNA from 1 species